CUCAAUAAAUUGGCGGAAGCGCGCACAAGCGGUGGAGCAUGUGGUUUAAUUCGAGGCAACGCGAAGAACCUUACCUACUCUUGACAUCCAGAGAACUUUCUAGAGAUGGACGGGUGCCUUCGGGAACUCUGAGACAGGUGCUGCAUGGCUGUCGUCAGCUCGUGUUGUGAAAUGUUGGGUUAAGUCCCGUAACGAGCGCAGCCCCUAUCCUUAUUUGCCAGCACUUCGGGUGGGAACUCUAAGGAGACUGCCGGUGACAAACCGGAGGAAGGUGGGGAUGACGUCAAGUCAUCAUGGCCCUUACGAGUAGGGCUACACACGUGCUACAAUGGCCGGUACAGAGGGCUGCAAACUCGCGAGGGUAAGCUAAUCUCACAAAACCGGUCGUAGUCCGGAUUGGAGUCUGCAACUCGACUCCAUGAAGUCGGAAUCGCUAGUAAUCGUGAAUCAGAAUGUCACGGUGAAUACGUUCCCGGGUUUUGCACACACCGCCCG
rnacentral:rRNA from 1 species